UGAAAUUUUGCGAGCGGAGGCAUGUAUUUCUGAAUCAACAACAGUUUACCACCUGAAAUUUUCAAAAAUUAAAGAAUUCAACAUGGUUAUAUGUUUGACUAAAUACCAAAAACAUUCAAUGAAAAAAAAAACCAAAAAUUCAAUUUGAAAUUUUCAUGUUUUGCAUUUACUUUGUAAGUUUCAUAAGUUCUAUUUAUAUAAUUGAUAUUGCAUCAUUUUUGGCACUUUGCCAAAUGGGGUCAUUUGAUAUAUCAAAUUGAAGGUCUUAACGAGCUCUACUCAAAAAUGAAAAUGUUAAACCCCCUUUUCAUCCCAGGGGGAAGGGUGGGGUCAUUAAGUGCAAAAAAUUCAAACUUCUCAGAUGGUUAGGUUGUCGCAUAUCAAAUGAAAGUCCAUAAAGAGUACAUUUCAAAUAUCAAAUUGACGUCCCCAAAAAUGGGUUGGGUGGGGUCAUUGAGUGUAAAAAAUAAAAUUUUCUUUUAAGGUAAGGUUGUUGUAUUUCAAAUGAAAGGUCGUAACGUGUACAUUUCAAAUAUCAGAUUCUUGUCCUCAAAAAAUUAGUUGGAUGGGUUAUUAAGUGCAAAAAUAAAACUUUCUAGAACAUGACGUUGUCGCAUAUCAAAUGAAAGAUAAUCAAGUCUAGAUUACAUAUAUCAUACUUCCGAUAUCAAAAAUGUAGGCGGAUGGGGUCAUUAAGUGUAAAAAGUGAAAAUUUUCAGAAGGUAUGCUUGUCGUAUAUCAAAUGAAAGGUCUUAAAGAGUACAUUACAAAAACAUCACUUUUACAGGAAAGACCUUUCAAUUGUUUUACAAACAAUUGAGAUACUAGUUCUAAUGUUUUUAAGGUCUUUCCACUCCGUUAGGAAAGACCUUAUUGUUUUUCUAAUGUUUUUUUAAGGUCUUUCCACUCCGUUAGGAAAGACCUUAUUGUUUUUCUAAUGUUUUUUUUUUUUCUUUUUUUUUUUUUUUUUCUUUUUCUUUUUUUUUUUUUUUUUUUUUUUCUUUUUUUUCUUCCAACAUUUUUUUGGGAAUGCCCUCCCCCCGUUUCUGUUGAAGUUAUCAAGACCAAAUAUGGACCAUCGAUAGACCUCAUCUUGAAGUAUUACCACAUGACCCUGUUAAGGAUUUCAUCAUCCCCUGUAGAAGUAAUCUCCCUUUUAUUGGAUUUUUUCGACAUGGCCCCCUCUCGUUGUUUUUAAAGAUAUCAUGACCUUAUUUGGACAAUAGGUAGAUCUCAUCAUGAUGUACUACCAUAUGAGGCUGCAUAGGAUUUCAUUAUCCCCUAUGCGAGUUAUAUCCCCUUGAAGCAAUUUCUUUCCUUUGCAUUUUUCUCAAAAAGUAUUAGGGAUAGAAUCGAUUUGAAAACAGCAACAUGUACACGAACAGAUGGCAAUGUUAAUGAACAUAUAAAAUAAUUUUGUUAUUGACCCUUAUAAGGAGUUAUUUCUCUUGAAAAAAUAUACACAAUUUUUGAAAAAUUGUAUUUCGAGAACCGGAAGUCGUAGAGACUUGGGACCUACACCAAUAAUCUUAAGUUCAUGUGACCUUCAAUUUGCAUCCAAGGUCAAAGGUCACCGAGUGCAAAAAAAAAUUACGCUGCAAUUUCAAGCUUGCAUAUUAAGAAAACGAUAAGAGGUUGCUGCAUACAUACUGUGUAUAAAAUGUUCCUCUCGACGAGCUCUACAUUUUAUACAUUAAGCUCAAAAAUGUCCGACCGUCUGUUCAAAAGUUACAUUAACAUAAUUCUUAAAACUAUAGUAACAUAUGUAUAUCUUUUUAAAGGUAACAGAUAUCAACCUUCUAUAAACUGGAAAGAUGAUCAGUAAUUCAAGACCUUCAAUUUGAGGUCAAUUUCAGGUCAUGAUGAAAUUUAAUCUUGACCUUCAGAGUGUACCAUGACCUUGACCUUGUGACAUUUGAAAGGUCAAGUGGUCCUGAGUUGAAUGGUGGUAGUCCCAUGUCUCUACGACUUCCGGUUCUCAAGUUUGAUAUUGCAUCAUAUAUUUGAUGAUUCAUUAUGACCUUGAUGAACUUCGGAAUUGUCCCAAAUUUUUUUCUGUAAUGUUGUCCUUUUACUGUAGAUCAUUUUACUUUUAACAUAUUUGAGAUAACUGUUGUUGUUUUAGAGAUCAUGCAGUUUGAAAUUUUGCGAGCGGAGGCAUGUAUUUCUGAAUCAACAACAGGUAACCACCUGAUAUUUUCAGAAAUUGAAGAGUUUAACUUGGUUAUAUGUUUGACAAAAUACCAAAAUCAUUCAAUGAAAAAAAACCCCAA